AUUGAACGCUGGCGGCAUGCCUUACACAUGCAAGUCGAACGGCAGCACGGGUGCUUGCACCAGGUGGCGAGUGGCGAACGGGUGAGUAAUACAUCGGAACAUGUCCUGUAGUGGGGGAUAGCCCGGCGAAAGCCGGAUUAAUACCGCAUACGAUCUACGGAUGAAAGCGGGGGACCUUCGGGCCUCGCGCUAUAGGGUUGGCCGAUGGCUGAUUAGCUAGUUGGUGGGGUAAAGGCCUACCAAGGCGACGAUCAGUAGCUGGUCUGAGAGGACGACCAGCCACACUGGGACUGAGACACGGCCCAGACUCCUACGGGAGGCAGCAGUGGGGAAUUUUGGACAAUGGGCGAAAGCCUGAUCCAGCAAUGCCGCGUGUGUGAAGAAGGCCUUCGGGUUGUAAAGCACUUUUGUCCGGAAAGAAAUCCUUGGCCCUAAUACGGUCGGGGGAUGACGGUACCGGAAGAAUAAGCACCGGCUAACUACGUG
rnacentral:rRNA from 1 species